CUACGGGACGCUGCAGUGAGGAAUUUUGCGCAAUGGGGGAAACCCUGACGCAGCAACGCCGCGUGAGCGAAGAAGGCCUUCGGGUCGUAAAGCUCUGUCAAGUGGGAAAAAAAUUCUUUGAUGAACAGUCAAAGGACUUGAUGGUACCACUGGAGGAAGCACCGGCUAACUCCGUGCCAGCAGCCGCGGUAAUACGGAGGGUGCAAGCGUUGUUCGGAAUUACUGGGCGUAAAGAGCGUGUAGGCGGUUUGACAAGUCAGAUGUGAAAGCCCCGGGCUCAACCCGGGAAGUGCAUUUGAAACUGUUUCACUAGAGUAUGGGAGAGGAGAUUGGAAUUCCUGGUGUAGAGGUGAAAUUCGUAGAUAUCAGGAGGAACACCCGUGGCGAAGGCGAUUCUCUGGACCAAUACUGACGCUGAGACGCGAAAGCGUGGGGAGCAAACAGGAUUAGAUACCCUGGUAGUC
rnacentral:rRNA from 1 species